UGGAAAAGUCAGAGGUGCUCUGACUGCCUUUUGACCCCAUUCUGAAGAUUCGAAGUUUUCAGUUGGCCACAAUUUAACCCAGUAGUUACAUUUAUUGACGUAGUUUUCUCACUACCUCUCCGGUGCAAAUCACAUUAAGACCAGACCAGUGUAUGAGGCUUUUGAUUGACGUCAUACCCCUCUAAGUAGUAGGCUACUCUUAAUCGAUUGGGGCAACAGAUGAGCUACAUUUGAUUAAGAAAGCAUUGUCUGUCCUAUGCUAGUGAGUGCACUGUUCAUUUUUGGGCAUUACUUCCGGACAGACGGCUCUGAUAUCCUCCAGCUAUAUCUGAGCACCAUUUACCAGACACUGUGGAGUUUGCUCGCAUCUUAAAGGACAGAAACAGUAUUUUCAUCCAUCGCUGAUACCGUUCAGGGACGACCACCUGCGCUAUCAACCAGCAAGGCGGUGGCUGUCCAAGCUUAGGGUUCGCAAUUCGCAAGCAGCGCUACAAAGGAUCAGAACUCAUCAACCCCGCUGUGCAAUCAUGUCGACUACCGGGGAAGUCCCUGCCUUCUUCAAGAACAUGGGCUCGGGUAGCCCCAUGCCACGGCAGAAAUUCUGUGGCAUGUUCUGUCCAGUUGAAGGUUCUGGCGACAGCAAGACGUUGGAUUUCCAGUCACUGCCGGGGGGCAGUAGAAGGAGUGACGGACAGGUCAUUGACAGGCAGACGGACAUCUCCCAGCCAAGGGUCGAGAUACGGGAGAGCAGAGGAAAAUCAGCUCUGCAGAACCUGGAUGACAGGAGCGAUCGUCUCCUGAUCAAAGGGGCGAAGAUCGUGAACGAUGACCAGUCCUUCUGUGCUGACAUCUACAUGGAGGAUGGCCAGAUCAAGUGAGUUUCACAACGACACCUCCUGAGGUUCACUGGCUCUGCCUCCGAGAGGUUAACUAUCUCUGAACCAUCUUUAUUAUUCAUUACACCUAACAAUGGUCGUUGUUCGGUCCUCCGAGACUUCUACCAGGGCACCCAAGAUGCCGCCCUGGCAGGGGGCACCACCAUGAUCCUCAUUGACCACGUGGUCCCGGAACCCGGGGCCAGCCUGCUGUCAGCCUUUGAGCAGUGGCGUGAGUGGGCGGACAGCAAGUCCUGUUGUGACUACUCCCUGCAUGUGGACAUCACUGAGUGGCACAAGGGAGUUCAGGAGGAGAUGGAGGCCCUCGUCAAGGACCACGGUGUCAACUCUUUCCUUGUCUAUCUGGCUUAUAAGGAUGUUUUCCAGCUUACUGACUCUCAGGUCUAUGAGGUGUUCAGUGUGAUCCGGGAUCUGGGUGCCAUCGCUCAGGUCCAUGCUGAGAACGGAGACAUCGUGGCUGAGGAGCAGCGUCGUAUUCUGGAGCAGGGCAUCACUGGACCUGAGGGACACGUCUUGAGCCGUCCUGAAGAGGUGGAGGCGGAGGCUGUCAACCGCUCUGUGACAGUAGCCAAUCAGACUAAUUGUCCCCUCUACAUCACCAAGGUGAUGAGCAAGAGUGCUGCUGAUGUCAUCGCUCAGGCCAGGAAGAAGGGCACUGUUGUGUACGGGGAGCCAAUCACUGCCAGCCUGGGCACAGAUGGCUCACACUAUUGGAGCAAGAACUGGGCCAAGGCCGCAGCCUUCAUCACAUCCCCGCCCCUCAGCCCAGACCCGACCACGCCCGACUAUCUCAGCUCCCUGCUCUCCUGUGGGGACCUGCAGGUGACUGGCAGUGCCCACUGCACCUUCAGCACUGCCCAGCGCGCCGUGGGCAAAGACGACUUCACCCUCAUCCCUGAGGGUACCAACGGCACUGAGGAGAGAAUGUCCCUCAUCUGGGACAAGUGUGUGGUGACAGGUAAAAUGGAUGAGAACCAGUUUGUGGCGGUCACCAGCACCAACGCGGCUAAGAUCUUCAACCUUUACCCCCGUAAGGGCCGCAUCGCUGUGGGCUCUGACGCCGACCUGGUCCUCUGGGACCCAGAUGUCAUCAAGAUCAUCUCAGCCAAGAGCCACAACUCGAAUGUGGAGUAUAACAUAUUUGAGGGCGUGGAGGUGCGUGGCGCGCCCCUGGUGGUGAUCAGCCAGGGUAAAUUGGUCCUGGAGGAGGGGAACCUCCACACCACUGAGGGGUGCGGCCGCUUCGUGGGCCGGAAGCCCUUCUCCGACUACGUCUACAAGAGGAUAAGGGCUCGCAGCAGGCUGGCUGAGCUGAGGGGAGUUCCCCGAGGCCUCUAUGACGGGCCUGUCUGUGAGGUGUCACUCACACCCAAAACUAUGACUCCUGCCUCUUCUGCCAAGACCUCUCCAGCCAAGCAGGCAGCAGCUGGUGCUCAGCCUGUCCGCAACCUGCACCAGUCAGGGUUCAGCCUAUCUGGUGCUCAAGUUGAUGACAACCUUCCUCGACGUAACACCCAGCGCAUUGUGGCGCCACCCGGUGGCAGGGCCAACAUCACCAACCUGGGUUAACAACUCAACUCCUAUUGGCCACCAGGGGAAAUGAGAGCUUGAGGGGAGGGGCAUCAGGGACUAGGGGGCCAUUCCACCAGGAGGCAAACCCUCUAGCUACAGUGCCUGACCAAUUCUCCCCUCCUCAAUCUCUCAACCCCUCUCACGCUCCCUACAUCUUUCCCCGACUCUUUCCCCCCCAACCCCCAAACGCCCCACCCUAGAGGAGACACAUAAAAAUGGAAAAACAACACUCCUAAUAUGAGCACUUUGGACUGUAUUAUUUCGUGUUUUAUACUGUACUUUCUACCUGCCAUGUAUCAUUCAGUUUAGUUUUUUAUUUUCAUGUUCUAAUAGAGGGCUGAAGUGAGACUAGACUGAGCAGUUUUAACACGGCCAGAAGGUCAAGACGGUGCUUGUUGCAUUUGCAUAGAUUCCGUCCCUCUUUUCUAAUUUUGGAUGUAUGGUGAAUGAAGUAUGGAGACACAAGGGCAGCAUGUUGUACUUGUGUUUUACCUUCAGAUAAUAGACGGGUUGGUUGUUUAGUAACAAAACCGACGUGUGUGCAACUAUUAGGCAAAACAGACAGUGUUGGCUUCAACUAUUGACAACAUGUAAACUCUAUUUAGUCUCCAAAUGUUUAUUGAAAACAUAUAAAUAUGUUUGCACAAUGAGCAUUUGUCUCUCAAAAUACAUUGUUCCAGUUGUAAGGUUAGCUAGCUAGCGAAUUUGAGCCAUAUUAGCAUAGACAUGACAUCAGUCAAAGCACCUUGAAACAAGACAUGGUAUCAAUAUCAAGAUUCAACGAGCUGAAACGAGCCACCUACAAUUCCCUACAUGGCAGCUUCCUGUCAUUGUUGCUCGCUAUUGGUCCGUUCAGAAUCAUAACAACGCACGCCUUCCGGGCCACAUUGAUGCGGGCGCAUAACUUUCGUUACGUUGUCGGCCAACCCGUCUAUGGGCACAUUAGAUUAGUUGCGCUAAAAUUGUGUAGUGAACAUGGAGAUGCUAAUAUGCCUUCCUCAAUUGAUAUGUUCACUGUCUGUCUCUGCUUUGUCUUUGUUCUCUACUGUUUAUACAGCUUCGCCCUCAGAUCAGUUCAGCACUGGCUAUGAUCAACGCCAUUUAUUGACUUGUUGCUAUAAGGAAAAUGAUUAUGAGACUGUAAAACCGUCCAUUGUUAUCGUUUGAAAAUCACUGCACGCUGGUAGUAAGCUGUCCUCAUCCCCAGGCUACGCGAUGAUACAUGAGAUUAGUAUAAGUCAAACCACUGUAGUGUUGAAAACCUAGGAGGAACUUGUCACUGGUGCUCACCUCAUGUCAUCCCACCCGUAGCUUUGUUAGAUUAUAGAUGAAAUGGAAAAAAAACAUGCCCCAUAUUUGAAAGCUGCUUGUGAAGCGGGGAAAGUCCAGUAUAGUAGGAGAAGGAGUUGGCGGGCGUUGGAUAGAACGCUGUCUCCCAGGGAGAGGCCAUUAUGGAACUUCCAUGAGAGGAGAUGUGACUCAAAGUUAGGAUGUUGGGAGGAGUGUAGCCGGGUGGAAGGGAAGGAAGAAAGAUGUUAGUGAGAAUACUAGGGAAUGCCCAAUUUCUCAUCGCCUCAUUCAAUUCAGCCUCUUAGCAAGAUGGUGCCACACUCCUUGUACUCAGCUACGCUGUAGUACAGUAUGUGUCCACUGCCCAUAUACCUGGCUCGAAGGGUAUUGUGACCACUCACUGUUAUGGGAUCUUUAAGAUCCAUAGACCAUUUAAUUGACAGUGUUGCAGGUAAUCACAUGUAUUGGUCACAUACACAUAUUUAGCAGAUGUUAUUGCGGGUGUAGUGAAAUGCUUGUAAGAUAGCAUCCUCCCACUGUUCUAGAAUGUCCCAGUACCAACCAGUGCAUUUAGAAGACUCACGGUCUUUUCUAUUCAUUCACUCCAUUUCCCUUUUAACUCUUUAUGUGCCUGAACCCAUAGAAUUUGUACUGAUAGUUUGAUUUGUUAUUAUUCUUAUUGUGGUAAGAGAAGGAUGUAAGAUAAAAAUGUAAAAUAGCCAGUGUUAACCGAUACAAAGGUGCCAGAUUUUGUUCUUUGGUAUUCCACUGGUAGUGCUCCUGUAAAAAAAAAUCUAUGCUUAAUAUGUUGAAAAUGUUUUAAUGUUUUAGGGUUUUUAACCGUACUUGUUUCUGCUAUUUAGUGUCAUUCUGUACUUAGUGGCCUAAGGCUGAACACUAUUCAUUUGAGCUUGAAAGUAGACAUGGAGUAUUGUAUUUCUAACUAGUAUGCAGUGUUAUGUUGUGAGGGUCUGGGCACACACACACACACACACACACACACACACACACACACACACACACACACACACACACACACACACACACACACACACACACACACACACACACACACACACACACACACACACACACACACACACACACACACACACACACACACACACACACACACACACACACAGACACACACACACAGACACAGACACACACACAGGUCUCAGUGCACCACUCCUUUGGGCCCAGACCUGGAGUGACAGUAAUGGUCCUUCACUCUCACUCGUUUUGCACGGUCUGGUUUUCAUUAAGGCAAAGCAGUCCUCCAGCUGUUUUUCUUCCUUCACUCGCAUGUCGGUGAGAUCUUGGCCUAAAAGUUGCCAUUCUGCAGUCUUCGCCUUUUCCUCUUCAUGACUUAAUACAGAGCAAAACACUCACUCACACUGUUAUGCACACACAGACACACACACUGUUAUGCACACACAGACACACACACUGUUAUGCACACACAGACACACACUUGCACGCAUGCACUCACGGAACAAGUGGUGGCUGUAUGUCCUUCCAGCACAUUGGAACUUUGGUUUUCAUGGCCGUGUUAAGGUCUCGUAGGAAGCUCUUAAAAGGUAGUCUCUUUCAGGGUAGUAACAGUAUCUGUGUUUAUGGAAUCCAUAGCAGGGAAAUGAAAUGUUGACACUUCAGUGUCUACAGGGAAUGAGAUGAGACAGGGAUGAGAGGGAAGGUGGUGUUGAGCUGUCUGCUUGUUCGUGUUCAAUCACUCAGGUGGCAGCGUUCAGGCCACUCCUGUGCUUAUACUCCAACAAAACUGUCAAAUCUCCCAUGUGAGAUGAGGGCUUGGACAAGUCUUCGUCCUCACAUGUGUAGAGUACAUGGCUGAGCAAACCAUCUCUUUAGUCUACAUUUACCUCCUCUCUUCUUCUGUCAUUCUCAUUGAGAUAUUAUGGUCAUCAUGAUUAUGAUUUUGAUUAUUAUUAUCAUGAUUAUUGUUGUCAUUAUUAUUUUUACUAUGAUCACUAACAAUAUUUAAAAUCGUUGAUUCUCCAGUGGUUGUUCUCGAUCCAAUGAAAAACCCUAUCCGGUGUAUUGGCAUCUUUUCAGCAUGAGUCUCCUAGUUGCUUGCUUAGUGUUGGAAUGCAUAUCUCUCAAACAGAGGUUGACGCAGGGUUAAAAUUAUUAAUCCCUCUAUUCCCAUAGACUGGACUUUUUUUUCACUCUGAUUUGGGGGAGGGGGGGGAGAGGGGGCUGCCGAAGCACAAAUACAUUUUGGCAGCCAGACGUACAUGAGUCCUCCUGAGACUAAAAGUAUGUCUUCGCUUGUUUCCACCCCGCUCUUCCUCUCUCUCUGGCUCUUCCAUUGUUGCCACAUUGCCUUGACCAUGAGGCCCUCCAGGCCUCACUUUUUGUUUGUCAUGGCAACGCUUGUCAGAUCGUAAGUUACCCAUAGCAACCCGUCCAGACCCGGUGCUAUUAGAAUAACAUAGUGCCCGUGGCAGACUAGCUGUAUGGAAGCCAUGCAGACUAUAGAACUCCCUCCUCUCUCUCUCACACACACACACAUACACACACUCUCACACUUGUUUUCUUCUCUACCCUUCUUUUCUAAAAUGAACCGUUGCUGCAGACUUCACCCAGUUUCAGUGUGUCACCAUUUGUAUAUAAGCUUAUGGCUAGUUGGGUGGGAUCAACAUGCUUCUUCUGACCCAUGAUUCGUGGGCCCUGAAUUGUGUCAUUGAGAGGGCGCCACAAGCUUCACAUGAUAGCAAUUACCCAGAACUCCUCUACAAGGCCACAUAUAUCUACCCUCUAGGCCCACACUGGUUGAAUCCACAUUGUUUCUAUGUAAUUUCAAUAAAAUGAUCCUGAACCAACGUGGAAUAGAUGUUUGUGCCCAGUGGGUACCAUGCACCCAGCGCUGUCUGCAGCUGUGGUGGAGCACAAUGCCUAAAGCAUUGACUCAGAUAUUAUAAACCAGCUGCCAACGCCGGCCUCGCCAUCGUGUCACCUCCAUAUACACACACACACACACACACACAUGAAAGCAUACACAUAGACACACACAAUCCUCCUUCUUGCUCUGUCAGCUUGGAUAUUUUUCUAUGCUACGCUAAUAUGUGAUGUAAGCGAAACGCAGAUUGAGAGAAGAGCUUUAGGUUUGAGGUUGCUAAUGCUGUUAAAAUCCCACCCGCACCCCUGUCCUCCCCCCUCCACCUAACCCCUUCCCAUUGUGAAAGUAACUGUGUGAUGGUGUUUGUCUUGAUGGCUGUGGGGUUUUGAGGAUGCUUGCUCUCUAUGGAAAGUGUCAAAUCCCAUGGAUGGUGAUGUAAAAACAAUGAUUUCAAAGAAUUAAAGGAUAAAACAAAA